GGGGGCGGGGAUCCGGAGCAUCAGCAACUUGGGACACCCGGGAAAGUGACUCCCACCCGGGGAGAGGACGACCUCGAACUCGUGACAAACAGCGACAGGGACUAGAGUCUUUUGAUUUAUUGGGAAACCAGACCCAGCGAAGCAGAGGCUUGGGAACAGAGAAGGGGGCGUGAGAGAAUGGUCACUUCCCAGGUUACGUCUGAGUCCCUGGGACUGCCAAGUAUAGGCUCUUGGCUUCUUGCAGGAAAUAGUUCAAGAAAGAGCCACAGUAAAGCAAAAGAAGGUCUAUUCAGGGAGGAAACACACUCUAUAAACAGAGUGUGGGGCAUCUCAGAGGACAGAGUAUUAAAAAGCAAAGACAUCACUUUGCCGACAAAGGUCCAUUUAGGUAAAGCUAUGGUAUUUCCAGUAGACAGGUAUGAAUGUGAGAGAACCAUAAAGAAGGCUGAGCACUGAAGAACUGAUGUUUUCAAACUGUGGUGCUGGAGAAGACUUUUGAAAGUCCCUUGGACUGCAACAAGAUCAAACCAGUCAAUCCUAAAGGAAAUCAACUCCGAAUAUUCAUUGGAAGGACUGAUGCUGAAGCUGAAGCUCCAAUACUUCGGCCACCUGAUGUGAAGAGCCAACUCAUUGGAAAAGAUCCUGAUGCUGGGAAAGAUGGAAGGCAAAAGGAGAAAGGCGUGGCAGAGGAUGAGAUGGUUAGAUAGCAUUGCUGAUUCAAUGCACAUGAAUUUGAGAAAAUUCUGGGAGAUAGUGGAGGACAGGGAAGGCUGGCAUGCUGCAGUCCACCGGGUCACAAAGAGUCGGACAUGCCUUAGCAACUGAACAACAAUAGCAGCCUCUGCUAGAAACCAUUAGGAGCAUCAACUUAAUGCUCAGUUUCUCUACUUUCUUUUCCCAUCUUUAUUCCAUAGUGAAGAUAUUUCUCUAUUGUCAUUUGUAGUGCAAAUAUUUUCCUCAGUUUGUCUUUUGCCUUUUAAUCUUCUUUAUGAUAUUUUUGGAAACACGUACAUUUUGAAUUUUUAAGUAUUUAGAUGACUUCAUCCCGUCCUUCAUGAUUUCUGCUCUCCUUUGUCACGCUUAUGUUAAACAUACAGUGACCUUUAAAAGUAUUGGUUCUGUUUCUCUGGAGAAGCUGGACAAAUGCAGGACUCCAAGCUAAAGUUUUUAACCUUGCUGAGCUUCAAGUUGUCAGCUGUAAAAUGGGUCCAGUGGUAAGAUCCAACACUUCCAAAGCAGGGGGCACGGGUGAUCCCUGGUCAUGAACUCAGAUCCCACAUGCCUCACAGGGCAAUGAACAAAAAGGGGGGCGGGGAGCAAAAAUAUAUCACAGUAUUGUAAAGGAGAUAGUGUUCAUAAAGCACCUAGCAGAUGCUGAGGCACAGUAGGCCCUCAGAAAAGGUUAGCUCUUUCUCUCUCUCCUCUCUCCCUCUUUCUCUUUCCCAUGAGGCACUGAAUGGUCAACAGUGCAAGUAUUGACCCCCACCAGUCUUGAGAAUGUUAAAAAAGAACAUUGCCUCGAGGAGGUGACCGAGUCCUGAACCUUAUAACUCAUUUACUGUAACCCCCUAAUUUUAAAAAUGUGAAAACUAAGGCCCAGAGAGAUGAAUUGAUCCAAUUUUACCCAAGUUCAUAUCAUUAGGGGCAGAAUAGGGACUGGAACACAGGUUUCUGAACUUUUGCUCCAAGAUUUCUUCUCCUGAUACGUGUGGUCUCAUGUGUUCUUUAAUGUAACCAACUUUUCGAGGAUGUCAGGAUUUUUUGCACAUACUUGGAAUUCUCAGGAAAUUCAGCAAAUCAUGAAAAUACUUGGACUUUUCUCAUGGAUUGUUUUAACUGAUUGUGGUUUUAACAUAUAACCAAGUAUAAAAUAUGAGAUCUUUACAAAAAGAUUUUAGGUAAGCACACUCUUUGCCAUGGGGCCCCACCAGAGCAACACGCAAAAAAUAUAGCUAAUGGCAUUCUGCUAAUUUGUCAUCUCUAUUUCCUUUGGGCCUGUUUGCUUCCUGACACAUAAUGGAUUGAAGUUUGGGGCAAACUUAAUAUUUUAAAUAUAACUUUAUAAUAGAAUGAUAUCCAAAUUACCUCAUUUCUUAUUUAUGGUCUACACAAAACAAGUGACUCUCAGAUUCUUGAAUUUAC